CGCGGCCUAUCAGCUUGUUGGUGGGGUAACGGCCUACCAAGGCAUCGACGGGUAGCUGGUCUGAGAGGAUGAUCAGCCACACUGGGACUGAGACACGGCCCAGACUCCUACGGGAGGCAGCAGUGGGGAAUCUUGCGCAAUGGGCGAAAGCCUGACGCAGCAACGCCGCGUGCGGGAAGAAGGCUCUCGGGUUGUAAACCGCUUUCAGAAGGAACGAAACUGACGGUACUUUCAGAAGAAGGUGCGGCCAACUACGUGCCAGCAGCCGCGGUGACACGUAGGCACCAAGCGUUGUCCGGAUUUAUUGGGCGUAAAGAGCUCGUAGGCGGUUCAGUAAGUCAGGUGUGAAAUCUUUGGGCUUAACCCAAAGCGUGCACUUGAUACUGCUGUGACUUGAGUUCGGUAGGGGAGUGGGGAAUUCCUAGUGUAGCGGUGAAAUGCGCAGAUAUUAGGAGGAACACCGGUGGCGAAGGCGCCACUCUGGGCCGAAACUGACGCUGAGGAGCGAAAGCGUGGGUAGCAAACAGGAUUAGAUGCCCUGGUAGUCCACGCCGUAAACGUUGGGCACUAGGUGUGGGUUUCAACCAACGGAAUCCGCGCCGUCGCUAACGCAUUAAGUGCCCCGCCUGGGGAGUACGG
rnacentral:rRNA from 1 species